CAUGCCCUACGGGAGGCAGCAGUGGGGAAUAUUGCGCAAUGGGGGCAACCCUGACGCAGCAACGCCGCGUGCAGGAAGAAGGUCUUCGGAUUGUAAACUGUUGUCGCAAGGGAAGAAGACAGUGACGGUACCUUGUGAGAAAGUCACGGCUAACUACGUGCCAGCAGCCGCGGUAAUACGUAGGUGGCAAGCGUUAUCCGGAUUUAUUGGGUGUAAAGGGCGUGUAGGCGGGAAUGCAAGUCAGAUGUGAAAACUAUGGGCUCAACCCAUAGCCUGCAUUUGAAACUGUAUUUCUUGAGUGCUGG
rnacentral:rRNA from 1 species